rnacentral:rRNA from 1 species
AGAUUGAACGCUGGCGGCAGGCCUAACACAUGCAAGUCGAGCGGCAGCACGGGUACUUGUACCUGGCGGCGAGCGGCGGACGGGUGAGUAAUGCCUAGGAAUCUGCCUGGUAGUGGGGGAUAACGCUCGGAAACGGACGCUAAUACCGCAUACGUCCUACGGGAGAAAGCAGGGGACCUUCGGGCCUUGCGCUAUCAGAUGAGCCUAGGUCGGAUUAGCUAGUUGGUGAGGUAAUGGCUCACCAAGGCGACGAUCCGUAACUGGUCUGAGAGGAUGAUCAGUCACACUGGAACUGAGACACGGUCCAGACUCCUACGGGAGCAGCAGUGGGAAUAUUGGACAAUGGGCGAAAGCCUGAUCCAGCCAUGCCGCGUGUGUGAAGAAGGUCUUCGGAUUGUAAAAGCUAACUUUAAGUUGGAAGGAAGGCAAGUUACCUAAUUACGUAUCUUGUUUUGAACGUUACCGACAGAAUAAGACACCGGCUAACUCUGUG